AUAUUUGCGUUGAAGAGAAGUAGUAGGCUAUGAAGUUGCUUUUAGAGAGUCGUUGGCUGGUGAAAAACGAUAGCAAUAGUAACCGAACUCGUCUCCGAGCUAUUAGAGUGAAGUAUAUUAGCUCUAGUCGGAUAAAUCCGUUAAAAUUAUUGAGUGGAUAGUAAGCAUUUUACUAUCAAUUAGAGUGGUACCGCGAACCUUUCGUCUCUAUA
rnacentral:ncRNA from 1 species